ensembl:lncRNA
AGAAUGGCCACCACAGCGUGCUCUGUGUUUCCUUCAUGCUGGGUUAAGGAACCUGUUUGCUGUGCUGGUAGCUGCAGCUGCAGACCUGGGGAGGAUGUCUGGGAGAUGCAGAAAGUGGACAUUUUGCAAAAUCACAUGAGAGAGUACCCAGCUCAGCUCGCCUCAGUCCUGCUGUCUUGCUUCCCCAUGGAAACGCCGUGCUGCACCAUCUGCCAGUGCCUCCCUGCAGCGCUUUGAGCUCUGACCCCGGCCCCAUCUGAAAGAGAAUAAACAAAUAAUGAAGAAUGUUCUGGAUGCUUCACCACAUGGAUACCAACAGACCAUAAUCCCUCCUGUUCUGAGACAAAGAUCAGAAGAGAAAAAAGGAACUUCUGCUUGUCUGGCUGUGCUUUUUGCCUAACAC